GCUUCAAUGCUGCUGGCAGCUGAAACAGAGAUGACAUCACUCGCCUGAUCUAGUCAACUUUGUUUCGGAGCUGAAGACUGUCCUGGUAAGAGCAUCUGUUGUUGCCUCAGAUUGAUAUUGACAUAUUCCUAAAUGUCAUAAUAAUACAUACAGUGCUGAAAUGCUGGUGAUUUAAUGUAAACAGGAAGUGUUUUAUGUUCCAGGAAGUGGCCCUGAAGAGCAGGCUGGAGUGUCGCUCCAUACCCCCUCCACAGGACUACUCUCAGCUCAUCACUGAGAUGGAAGACCUAGGGUUGGGAAAGACUACCGAGGUUUUAUUUCCUCACGUGUUUUGUGCUCUGGUUGCCAGAUUUGCCAUGUUAGUCGCGCAUUCAUUCACCACUCUGCCCAACGGGAAACUCCGCCAACAAGCUCCCACCCUCAUCAGACAGUGAGGCUGUCUGCGACUCCGUCCCAUUCAUCAUCCACGGCCGGACAUCCUCAGCCAUUGCACCAGCUGCCAUCAUCUGCAGUUCUACUAUAAGAAACAUCUUGGGUCCCAUGUUAAAAACCCUGUGCUAUCCUGGAGCACGAGUACAAGACACUACAAGCCUGCUUCCAACCGUUCUAUGUCAACUACUGGAAACUGACACUGGAAACUGACACAGCUACUGGAAACUGACAUCAAACGACAUCAGGGGGGCUAGCUCGGGAACUUCUGAAAAUUGAUUUAAAUAACUGAUUCUAGCACUGAAAAAUUCAAAAAAUUGGCCAAUUAUUUAAGGUCCGGUACCAUCAUUGGGCUGAAGGUGUGGAGGGAACAGAAGGCCACUGGCAUUACACACCUGGCUAAAAUAUUACUUUAGCUCUGUUGGAAUCACUUGUAUAGAUAACUUGGACACCUUCUGGAAAUCGAAUAUGCUCUGCAGGAAUGACGGAGUCCAUCCAAAUCAUCUUGGCUCCUGGACUCCUGUUCACGCAUUUCAAGGCUGCUUUGAGACAUUGACUUAUCAAUGACCCAAGACCAGCUCAGUUAAUCCCUACCAUUGUGUCCCUGAGUUGUCAUAAUGCUGAGCAAAUGUACAUUAUCCCAGGGACGUUGGCAGACACAAUUUAAGUAACUUAAUGUAUGUCCCCCUAACUGCCCUGAAUGCCUCUGUUGAUCCUACAGCCAUUGUAUGCAGUAAUCGUGUGCCUAUGAACCAGAAUUAUACUGUUAGCACUGAGGCGGUGUUCUCUGUGUGUAGCUCACCCUACGCUAUCAGCUCAAAUAUAAAUAACAAAUCAAAUCAAAUCAAAUGUUAUUUGUCACAUACACAUGGUUAGCAGAUGUUAAUGCGAGUGUAGCGAAAUGCUUGUGCUUCUAGUUCCGACAAUGCAGUAAUUACCAACAAGUAAUCUAACUAACAAUUCCAAAACUACUGUCUUAUACACAGUGUAAGGGGAUAAAGAAUAUGUACAUAAGGAUAUAUGAAUGAGUGAUGGUACAGAGCAGCAUAGGCAAGAUACAGUAGAUGGUAUCGAGUACAGUAUAUACAAAGUAAACAAAGUGGCAUAGUUAAAGUGGCUAGUGAUACAUGUAUUACAUAAGGAUGCAGUCGAUGAUAUAGAGUACAGUAUAUACGUAUGCAUAUGAGAUGAAUAAUGUAGGGUAAGUAACAUUAUAUAAGGUAGCAUUGUUUAAAGUGGUUAGUGAUAUAUUUACAUAAUUUCCCAUCAAUUCCCAUUAUUAAAGUGGCUGGAGUUGAGUCAGUGUCAGUGUCAGUGUGUUGGCAGCAGCCACUCAAUGUUAGUGGUGGCUGUUUAACAGUCUGAUGGCCUUGAGAUAGAAGCUGUUUUUCAGUCUCUCGGUCCCAGCUUUGAUGCACCUGUACUGACCUCGCCUUCUGGAUGAUAGCGGGGUGAACAGGCAGUGGCUCGGGUGGUUGAUGUCCUUGAUGAUCUUUAUGGCCUUCCUGUAACAUUGGGUGGUGUAGGUGUCCUGGAGGGCAGGUAGUUUGCCCCCGGUGAUGCGUUGUGCAGACCUCACUACCCUCUGGAGAGCCUUACGGUUGAGGGCGGAGCAGUUGCCAUACCAGGCGGUGAUACAGCCCGCCAGGAUGCUCUCGAUUGUGCAUCUGUAGAAGUUUGUGAGUGCUUUUGGUGACAAGCCGAAUUUCUUCAGCCUCCUGAGGUUGAAGAGGCGCUGCUGCGCCUUCUUCACGAUGCUGUCUGUGUGAGUGGACCAAUUCAGUUUGUCUGUGAUGUGUAUGCCGAGGAACUUAAAACUUGCUACCCUCUCCACUACUGUUCCAUCGAGGUGGAUAGGGGGGUGUUCCCUCUGCUGUUUCCUGAAGUCCACAAUCAUCUCCUUAGUUUUGUUGACGUUGAGUGUGAGGUUAUUUUCCUGACACCACACUCCGAGGGCCCUCACCUCCUCCCUGUAGGCCGUCUCGUCGUUGUUGGUAAUCAAGCCUACCACUG
rnacentral:lncRNA from 1 species